rnacentral:misc_RNA from 1 species
CCAUGAUGUGGUCCAACAUACCCUUCUUCUGCCAGGUCAUUGCCCACUCAGCUAUAUUAACUUGCUCCCUUGGAAGAACUGGAUUUAAAGCGGGUCUAGUACAGAGAACUUCCAUUAGAACCACCCCAAAUGAAUAUACAUCGGAUUUCUCUGUGAGCUGUUGCCUUCGGAAGUAUUCAGGAUCAAGGUAACCAAAGCUACCCUUAACAGCAGUACUCACAUGGGUCUGAUCAAGAGCUGGGCCAGUUUUUGAGAGGCCAAAAUCAGCAACUUUGGCUACAAAAUUCUCAUCCAAGAGAAUAUUUGUUGUCUUGACAUCACGAUGGAUAAUGCUUUGAGCUGCACCUGUGUGAAGAUAAUGAAGCCCCCUUGCAGCACCAAUACAUAUUUCAAGUCGUUGCUUCCAUGAUAAUGGUGGUAGAUCUGUUCCAUACAGAUGGCUCCUGAGAGGUCCAUUAGCCAUGUAUUCAUAAACAAGAAUCAUUUCUGACCUUUCGUCACAAUAGCCAAUAAGUGAGACAAGGUGGCGAUGACGGAGCUUGGAUAACAUUUCGAUCUCAGUUCGGAAUUCAGCAAGACCUUGUUCUGAUCUAGGGUUUCCUCUUUUCACAGCCAC